CCAGACUCCUACGGGAGGCAGCAGUCGGGAAUAUUGCGCAAUGGAGGAAACUCUGACGCAGUGACGCCGCGUAUAGGAAGAAGGUCUUCGGAUUGUAAACUAUUGUCGCUAGGGAAGAAAAAGGACAGUACCUAAGGAGGAAGCUCCGGCUAACUACGUGCCAGCAGCCGCGGUAAUACGUAGGGGGCAAGCGUUGUUCGGAAUGACUGGGCGUAAAGGGUGCGUAGGCGGUGUAGCAAGUUAGAAGUGAAAUACCUAGAGCUUAACUCAGGUGCUGCUUCUAAAACUGCUAUACUUGAGUGCAGUAGAGGAAAGUGGAAUUCCUAGUGUAGCGGUGGAAUGCGUAGAUAUUAGGAGGAACAUCAGUGGCGAAGGCGACUUUCUGGACUGUAACUGACGCUGAGGCACGAAAGUGUGGGGAGCAAACAGGAUUAGAUACCCCAGUAC
rnacentral:rRNA from 1 species